GACGAACGCUGGCGGCGUGCUUAACACAUGCAAGUCGAGCGGAGCGGCGAACGGGUGAGUAACGCGUGAGUAACUGCCCCCCUCUCUGGGAUAACAGUUGGAAACGGCUGCUAAUACCGGAUAGUGGGGGUUGACUCGCGGCUUAUCAGCUUGUUGGUUGGGUAGUGGCCUACCAAGGCGACGCCGGGUAGCCGGUCUGAGAGUGCGACCAGCCACAUUGGGCUGAGGUACGGCCCAAACUCAUACGGGGGGCAUGGGUGGGGAAUAUAGCACGAUAGGGGGAACGCUGAUGCAGCAACGCCGCGUGCGGGAUGUCGGCCUUCGGGUUGUAAACCGCUUUCAGCCAUGACGCGGUAGUGGCAGAAGAAGCACCGGCUAACUACGUGCCAGCAGCCGCGGUAAUAC
rnacentral:rRNA from 1 species